rnacentral:rRNA from 1 species
UACGGAGGAUGCAAGCGUUAUCCGGAAUUAUUGGGCGUAAAGCGUCCGCAGGUGGCACCUCAAGUCUGCUGUCAAAGACCGGGGCUUAACCCCAGAAAGGCAGUGGAAACUGGAGUGCUAGAGUGCAGUAGGGGUAGAGGGAAUUCCCGGUGUAGCGGUGAAAUGCGUAGAGAUCGGGAAGAACAUCGGUGGCGAAAGCGAUCUGCUGGACUGAAACUGACACUCAGGGACGAAAGCUAGGGGAGCGAAUGGG